GACGAACGCUGGCGGCGUGCUUAACACAUGCAAGUCGAACGGUAAGGCCCUUCGGGGUACACGAGUGGCGAACGGGUGAGUAACACGUGGGUGAUCUGCCCUGCACUUCGGGAUAAGCCUGGGAAACUGGGUCUAAUACCGGAUAGGACCACUGCCUGCAUGGGUGGUGGUGGAAAGCUUUUGCGGUGUGGGAUGGGCCCGCGGCCUAUCAGCUUGUUGGUGGGGUGAUGGGCUACCAAGGCGACGACGGGUAGCCGGCCUGGGAGGGUGACCGGCCACACUGGGACUGAUAUACGGCCCAGACUCCUACGGGAGGCAGCAGUGGGGAAUAUUGCACAAUGGGCGCAAGCCUGAUGCAGCGACGCCGCGUGAGGGAUGACGGCCUUCGGGUUGUAAACCUCUUUCAGCACCGACGAAGCGCAAGUGACGGUAGGUGCAGAAGAAGGACCGGCCAACUACGUGCCAGCAGCAGCCGCCG
rnacentral:rRNA from 1 species